rnacentral:rRNA from 1 species
AUGAGCAAGGUACUCAUCGCCAUGUCUUUUGUGCUGAUGUUCUCGGCAGCUCCGCCGCAAGCAUCGGCUGCGGUCCAUGGAGCCGCCGGAGGGAUCCUGAAGAUCCCUUCCAAUGACUCCUUGGCUCACUGCAUCACGGGGUGCGGGGACAUCGACUUCACCUAUCCCUUUGGUAUAGGGCCCCGCUGCUUCCGUCAAGGCUUUGAUCUCACCUGCAACCACUCCACCAAGCAUCCCAAGCUCUUCUUAGGUAGCAGCACUGUCCAGAUCACUCGCAUGUACUCCAGCUACGGCAUAGUUAUCACCCCUAUAUUCUUCAACCGUACAACGAGUCCAGGUACAAAUACCUACGACAUGUCAUGGGAGGCCCCUGGAAAAGGUAUUACUAUCGCUAGUUAUAAUACUCUGUUCGUAAUUGGUUGUGAUUUUGACGUCACCAUGUUCGAGUAUGGUACGGGAGACAUGGUUGGUUCUUGUAUGAGUAGAUGCGCCGGCGAAAAGGUACCAACUGGAGGGCCUUGUAAUGGAAGAGGCUGCUGCCUCAUCCCGUUAACAAGGGACCUGCCCGGUUUUCGGGCAAAACUUGUCAGCACUAAUACUACUGCAACGCAAUCAGAUUGGUUGCACCCUGGCAUCAUGGCUUUCGUGUCACCUGAUUAUCAUUACAGAGAUGAUGAUAGUGACAACACUAAUACAACCACUCUAUUCUCAAGUUGGACAAAUGCAAGCAAUAUUUAUGGCGCAGCUCUUAGUGUUAACAUCAUGGACCAACCAAGCUGUCAAAGUGCACAAAUGAAGAAUGCAAGCUAUGCCUGUAGCAACGGUAGCAGUUGCCAGAAUUCCUCAUCUGGUGGUUACGGGUGUUACUGCUCUUCUUAUGAAGAAGGCAACCCUUACAUUUUAGAUGGAUGCAUGGAAGAAGCAGAUUAUAACCCCAAGCCCAAAGAACACUGCCCCACAUCAUGUGGACGCAUUACUGUUCCCUUCCCAUUUGGGCUCGAAGAAGGGUGCUUUGCCAACAAAAAAUUUCAUCUGAAUUGUACAUCUGGUAAUCUCACAGUUUCUUUCUCAGAAAAUGUACAAUAUCAUGUGACUCAUGUAUCCGUGGAAGAUGGGACUCUGACAGUUAGCAACAUGGUGGACGGAAAUCAUGCGAAAGAGCGGAUAGAAAUCCAGACUGACAAUGGAUAUGUAGAAGAGACACCUGUGGAAGCUCAAUUUGAUUUCUCUAUGGAGUUCGAUCACUUUGUUAUAAAGUGGGCGGUUGCCAAUUUAACUUGCCAAGCGGCUAAAAAGGAGGAUACUAUGUAUGCAUGCCGCAGUUCCCACAGCAAGUGCCUAAACGUCACCCACGGGGAAAUAUUUAUGGGCUAUCGUUGCAACUGUUCGACAGGCUUUCAAGGAAAUCCGUACGUCAAGGAUGGCUGCGAAGACAUCGAUGAAUGUGCACAAUCAAACUACUGCAAUGGGACAUGUCAAAAUUUUCCUGGAAGCUACAACUGCACGGGUUGCCCUCAUGGAAAAGAGUUUAAUCUCAUAAAAAGGCAGUGUGUUACAUCAACAAAGGAACACAAUCUUCGUUUGGGUAUCGCAAUUGGAACUGGAUGUGGCCUAGGCUCCAUACUUAUUGCACUUUGUGUAUCCAUAUUCAUCAACAAGUGGAAGAACGGCAUCCAGAAGAGAAUCCGGCGAGCACACUUCAAGAAAAAUCAAGGCCUACUCUUGGAGCAGCUGAUCUCAGAUGAAAGCGCCACAAACAAAACAAAGAUAUUCUCCUUGGAGGAACUAGAGAAGGCCACCAACAACUUUGAUGCCACUCGUGUUCUUGGUCGUGGAGGACAUGGUACAGUUUAUAAAGGGAUUCUAUCUGACCAACAGGUGGUGGCUAUUAAAAAAUCCAAAAUUGUGGAGCAGACUGAGAUAGACCAAUUUAUCAAUGAGGUCGCUAUUUUAUCUCAAAUCAUUCAUCGCAAUGUGGUAAAGCUAUUUGGUUGUUGCCUCGAAUCUGAGGUGCCUUUGCUGGUGUACGAGUUCAUAGCCAAUGGUACAUUGCAUGACCUUCUUCACAUUGAUGUUACUGCCAAAUGCUUGCUGUCAUGGGAUGAUCGCAUCAGGAUUGCAGUAGAAGCAGCAGGGGCACUUGCCUAUCUGCACUCGGCUGCUGCAAUACCAAUUUUCCAUAGAGACGUGAAAUCUUCUAACAUACUAUUGGAUAGCAGCUUCGCUUCAAAGGUUUCUGACUUUGGUGCUUCAAGGUCUCUUUCCCUGGAUGAGACUCAUGUGGUGACUAUUGUCCAAGGAACAUUUGGUUACCUAGAUCCAGAGUAUUACCAUACCGGGCAGCUAACUGAAAAGAGUGAUGUGUACAGUUUUGGAGUAAUACUUGUGGAACUUUUGACAAGAAAAAAGCCAAUUUUUAUCAAUGAUCUAGGUGCAAAACAAAACUUGUCCCAUUAUUUCGUGGAAGGAUUGCAAGAGGGAGCUAUCAUGGAAAUAAUGGAUCCUCAGGUUGUCAAAGAGGCAAACCCAGAAGAGGUUCAUGAUAUUUGCUCACUUGCGGAAGCAUGCUUGAGACUCAAAGGAAGAGACAGACCUACCAUGAAAGAAGCAGAUAUGAGGUUGCAAUUCAUGAGAACUAAGAGGCUAAGAAAAUGCAAAAUUCUCCCAGCUAGUGAUGAAGAGAUUGAGCCUUUGUUAUGCAUAAAGGUUGGUAAUUCAGAUGUUGUCAAUGAUGGUAAUUCAACAUCAAAAGGCAUCUCUUGUUGCUACAGUCUAGAACAAGAACUUUCAUCAUCGGUCACUUUACCACGCUAA